rnacentral:lncRNA from 1 species
CCCCAGUGAGGGUCUUGGGGUGCCACAGCACCCUGAUGCUGGGAUGUAUGGGUGGACAGACAUGCAAGAAUGCAGCUGUGCAAAUGACCGUGGAGAUGUGGGAUUGUGGGGCAGCGUGAUGAACAAAAUACUCAUCUCCCCAUAGACAGGUGCAGGAGGAGGUGGUGGUGGCUGUGGUGGGCAUGGAGGCACAGCAUAGGCAGGGACAAAGCAGGACACAGCCAGGAGCAGCAGGCACCCUUCAGCCCUCACCCAGGAGCGAGCAGCUGGGACCAGUUUGUGCCUUGGGCAAUGAGGCCCCACGGCAAAACCUCACAGCACAGGAAGGUAGGCCUGGGCCCCCACCACCUCCUCCUAUGCUCCCCCCUCCAAGGGCAGCUCCCUCCAGGCCUGGGCAUCUGUGGGGACCUUCCACCUGUGCCUCCACUGAGGGGGUUUGGAAAUAGGGGCACGUCCUCCCGCUCCACUUUUGAGAGGUGCUGAGAUUUGAAAUUGAGAAAACCCAUCUGGAGAAAGGGGAGAGGCACAGGUCCAGCAGAGCCAUUGCUGCUCUCGUUUCUCACCAACUUCAGGACCAAAAGCCCCCUCCUGCCCCACACCGGGUCCCACUGUUGCUCUUGGGGGGGGGAACACUGUCUCCCUGAGUCUCCCUUGCCCACCACAUCUCCACGCUGCCCUGCACACACUCAGCACAG